rnacentral:snRNA from 1 species
GCAUGUGAGGGCGGUCCUGCUGCGACAUCUGUCAGCCCAUUGAUUGUCAGGGUUGAUUUGGCUGAUCUGGCUGGUUAGGUGGGUGUCCUCUUUCUCCUUCAGCACUCCGUGCAUCCCUCCUGAAGCUGCGUGCUCUAAGAGGACCAUGUCGCUCGAUAGAGGGGGACUGUUCUUUGGUCAUGGGUAUAUGAGUAGCUGUGCUCCCCUGCUGGAACCAAACAAGCUCUCAAGUCCACUUGUAGGAGAAUGCAGGUUAGUUAAGCUUCCAAGACUCAGGACACAUCCAAAUGAGGUGCUGCAUGUGGCAGCUUGCCCUUCUUU